UAGAGACCCAACUAGUGAUCAGUCAUGCAUGGCAAGAUAUUCAGUGAGCUCCCCACCCCACCCUGAGUCCCUCCUUCCUCCAAGAAGAACAGUGCUCCAUGUGGAUAUCCCACCAGCCUUGGCCCAGGUUCCUCCCUGAAGAAAAGCUUCCCCAAACAUUCAGCAUACCUUCCCUGUUAUCUCACCCAACCCCUCAAAACCCAGAACAAAAUUAUGGGAGUGAAGAUGUUCCCGGGGCUGAGCCUGCCUUUCCUCUGCACCCAGACACUCAGUGGCCAAUUUCUACGUGAAAGUUGUUGUUCCAGCAGACAAAACCCAAGUGUGCCACAGUGGAUUGUUUUGGAGAACCCUGCUCUAGAAGCAACAGCCAAGUUUCAGAAAGUUUGCCGAAACUGCCAGUUUGCAAAGCCUUUGUUCUUUGGAGCACAGCACGCAGAUUCCAGAACCUUUAAGAAGCCCAGGAAGGCCUGUGUGCCCUGCUAUUUUUUGAUGCUCACAAUAUAUUGAAAAACAAAGAAAUGAAUAAAAGUACCUCAGCCAAAAAUCCAGCCUGUGCUCCUGUAGUAAUGGGAGGACAGACACCUUUCCUUCUUGGUAAAGCAAGGGAACUCCAGAAAGGGGAAGCAGAGGAAGUGGCCUGCACAGCAGAACCUCCCCUUGCCUGUGGUAACCCUCACUCUGCAGGACUGCUUAUCCUUCACCACCAUUUGGAAGGCAAAGGAAAGAGGAGAAAGGUUGUGGGAGGAGCCACCAGUGAACUGGGAGGAGGAUUAUUCAGUCUCCUGGAGGAAAGGUAACUCAUCAGUUCACAGCUAG
ensembl:lncRNA